UUUCCGUAGGUGAACCUGCGGAAGGAUCAUUAUCGAGAUAGAGCCUAACGGGCUCGACCUCCUACCCUGUGUAUACUGAAGCCUAAUACGUUGCCUCGGUGGACCGCCUGGCCUCUGCCCGCUGGGCGGCGGCCGGCCGCCGGCCCUCUUUUGAAGGGUGGGUGCGCGUCCGCCGACGGAACCACUAUAAACCUCUCUUAAUCAGCCCAUCUGAGCGAGAAUUCAAAUAUAUUAAAACUUUCAACAACGGAUCUCUUGGUUUUGGCAUCGAUGAAGAACGCAGC
rnacentral:misc_RNA from 1 species